UACGAAGGGGGCUAGCGUUGUUCGGAAUUACUGGGCGUAAAGCGCACGUAGGCGGACAUUUAAGUCAGGGGUGAAAUCCCGGAGCUCAACUCCGGAACUGCCUUUGAUACUGGCGAUCUUGAGUCCGGGAGAGGUGAGUGGAACUGCGAGUGUAGAGGUGAAAUUCGUAGAUAUUCGCAAGAACACCAGUGGCGAAGGCGGCUCACUGGCCCGGUACUGACGCUGAGGUGCGAAAGCGUGGGGAGCAAACAGG
rnacentral:rRNA from 1 species